GUGUCCCACAUCAGCUUCUCAUCUCUUCUGUCUGGGUUCAGCUGAGCUCGUCUGUCAGCAUCUCUGAGGCCUCACGAGAACCAGAACUGGACGGAGUUUGGUCCUCAAACAGAACUCCGGCAGCAGGACUCAGAAGUUCAGAAAUACUUCAUCUUUUCUGGGAGGAAAUGUCGUUUCUGAGGGAGCCGACUGGGAGACGGGAAACUGCAGCCCGCCUAUGCUGUCGAAGCGCCGCUGCAGCUGGAAGUCUCAGCAGAUGAUGAACAAAACUGGAAACGCUCAUAAAGCUGAAUUUAAAGUUAAUUUAUCAUCAUAACUCCGUCA